rnacentral:lncRNA from 1 species
GUUAACAAUUUAGUUACUGCAUAUAGCAAACAGCAGUUAAAAAUACUUCAGGUAUGUAAUUUCUUCUUUCAGCUUUACAUAGUUUUCCUAACACAUGACUGUUGAAAGAGAUUUUUAUGAGUGGUUUUUUUUUUUCCAGUUGCUUUGCUGUACGACUUCACCUUUGAAUUCUUCAAGCUGACAGAAGCUUCGGUAGCUCAGUGUAACAGAAGCUCCUGCUGUUAGUCCCACUACAGCAUCUUAAUUGCAAACCAGAGAUGAUAGCUCAUGUUCAAAGAGCACAGACAGAGGCACAGCACCACAGCAAGAUGUGCCCAUGUGUGAAAGUUCCUGAUGUUCCUGAAGUCACUGCUACAGCAGCAAGGGGUGAAGAAUGAAGAUGGAGGAUGGCAAUAUGUGUUCCUAGAGCAGCUUGUUAGAUCUCAGAAGGAGGAGCAAGGGAAGCUCUGCCUGCCACACAGAUAUGAACUGCACCUUACUGAUAAUGGUGAACCUUGA